AUUUUUUGUCCUUUAAUACAACCGCUAGCUAAGAUCCUGUGUUUUUGAGAGCUCCCCGUAAUAUUACAAUUGAUAAUGUUUUUUUAGUCCAUUCUAAGUAUGUUUUGGUUUGUUACCUCUCAAGAUUCUGGCACAUAAAGUUUUUCCAACUAUUCAAUGCAUUUUAUAUGGACGUUUUUAAUCUGAUGGUUUGUAGUGCUACAAAUACCGAAGCGUUUUAAUCAACAUCAUCUUCUUCUGAUUUGUUAAAUAUGUUGAAAAAAAGAGAGAUUGAGGAAGCUGAUAUGAGAAUAAUGGUUCACAUAGCUCAGGCAGCACGUGAAAAUCAUAUGAAAAUAUGUAUUUUGUCAUCUGAUACUGACAUUAUAAUCAUGACAUUAUAUCACUUUAGAAAAUUGAAUCUGUUGGAUUAAAGGAACUAUGGAUAAAAGCAGGAACAGGGGCUACCAAACGAGACAUUGCAAUACAUAUUAUGGCAUUGCGUUGUGGCACAGAAACCUGUUUAGUACUUCCUGCACUUUACCAUUUGACUGGAGCGGAUUAUACGAGCAAAGUUGGCACAAAACGUGCUGCUUUUCAAGCCGAACCAGAAAAGUAUCUUUUGAACUUUGCACAAGGUUUAACCAAAAGUGAAAUUGAAAGCUCUGUUCGGCUUGCAGAAGAGUUUUUGGUAAAAGUAUAUCGCAGGGACAGUUCAUGUAAAAAUUUUAAUGAACUGAGAUAUUAGAUUUACCAUCACCAAAAAAAUAUUUCUUUAGAAAAGUUACCCCCAACUAGUCCAAAUAUUAGAUUUCAUAUUUUAAGAGCUUUUUUUAUUGUUUAUAAUCAAAACUUUUGUUUAAAUACAUUGGAACAUACCACUUUGCUUGAUCCACUUUGUUUUGGAUACAAGAUCGAGAAUGGUUGCCUCUUACCAAAAUCAGUAACUAACCUUUUUCCCCCGAGUGACGAUCUUUUACCAAGCUGCAAUUGCACGAAAUGUUCGCGGCAAAAUAGUUACCGUUGUAGGGCUGCUGGGUUACAGUGUUGUUCAUUUUGUUAUUGUAAAGGAGGAAUAAACCAGUAUAAAA